rnacentral:lncRNA from 1 species
CAGCAAGGAGUCCGCGGAGAACCUGGCUACCCCGGCCCCAGCGGAGAUGCGGGCGCCCCGGGGGUGCAGGGCUACCCGGGGCCUCCGGGCCCUCGAGGACUGGUUGGAGACCGAGGCUUGCCCGGACAGCCCGGGAGGCAGGGCGUGGCGGGCCGAGAUGCUAGUGACCAGCACAUAGAGGACGUGGUGCUGAAGAUGCUGCAAGAGCAAUUGGCAGAAAUGGCUGUGAGUGCCAAGCGGGAGGCCCUGGGUGCGACUGGGAUGAUGGGUCCCCCAGGACCCCCUGGGCCUCCUGGGUACCCAGGCAAACAGGGACCCCAUGGGCACCCUGGCCCUCGGGGUGUUCCUGGCAUCGUGGGAGCCGUGGGUCAGAUUGGCAACACUGGGCCCAAGGGAAAACGUGGAGAGAAGGGUGAUCAGGGAGAAGUUGGCCGUGGGCACCCCGGGAUGCCUGGGCCCCCGGGGAUCCCAGGACUGCCUGGCCGGCCUGGUCAGGCAAUCAACGGCAAAGAUGGAGAUCGAGGGGCUCCAGGGGCCCCAGGAGAGGCAGGUCGACCUGGCCUGCCAGGCCCCAUUGGGCUGCCAGGCUUCUGUGAACCUGCGGCCUGCCUUGGAGCCUCAGCCUAUGCCUCUGGACGCCUCACGGAGCCUGGAUCCAUCAAGGGGCCAUGAGCAUCAGGCCAAGACAGAACCCAGUGGGCAUCCUGGGGGAGAAAGGACUCAGGCCCCUCUGGGUGGACAUGCACCCCAUGCCUCAGUCCAGGAAACUAGCUUUUCCAGGACCUUCCAUCUGGGAUCCAGGAGUCCUGAGGAAAAGGAAAUUCUAAAACAUGGGGGAAGGGAAGGGAGGGCAUCAGAUGAAAAGGUGAGGCCAACAGGGCACAUGGCACUGGAGAGUCCACGGUCCAGAGAGGAUGGGGUGGCCUUCGUUCCUGGAGCACUGCUCGGAUGUCAUCAAAACAAAUGUGUCCUUAAUCUGCAUCAUCCUCCACUGGCCAUCUUGUCCUUGGGGCAAGUGGACCGAGGCCUUUGCUAG